GGGAGUGUAGCUCAGUUGGGAGAGCGUUUGCUUCGCAUGCAAGAGGUCAGGGGUUCGACUCCCCUCACUUCCACCA
rnacentral:tRNA from 1 species